CAGCGUCGUGUCGCGGUUUCGGGACUGUCCUCAGUCCCGGGUCGUCUCGGCGCGGUUCCGAGCGGUCGCUCCCUCGCGAGGUGCCGCGGGUCAGCGGCUGACGCCAGCCACCUUCCCGACCCGUCUUGAAACACGGACCAAGGAGUCUAACAUGUGCGCGAGCCGCGGGGCAGUACGAAACCCGUAAGGCGAAAUGAAGGUGAACGCCGGCGCGGUCCGGCGGAGGUUGGAUCCCGUCCCGUCGGGGCGGGCGCACUACCGGCCGAUCUUCUCCGCCCUGUCGGCGAGGUCGAGCGAGAGCGUGCAAGUCGGGACCCGAAAGAUGGUGAACUAUGCCUGAGGAGGUUGAAGCCAGAGGAAACUCUGGUGGAGGACCGUAGCGAUUCUGACGGGCAAAUCGAUCGUCAAAUUUGGGUAUAGGGGCGAAAGACUAAUCGAACCGUCUAGUAGCUGGUUCCCUUCGAAGUUUCCCUCAGGAUAGCUGGCGCUCUGUCGCAGUUUUAUCUGGUAAAGCGAAUGAUUAGAGGUCUUGGGGGCGAAACGCCCUCAACCUAUUCUCAAACUUUAAAUUGGUAAGAAGCCCGACUCGCUCGUAGGAGCCGGGCAUGGAAUGCGAGU
rnacentral:ncRNA from 1 species